AAGUCACCACAGGCCAGCUCAUCCACGCUAGAUGGACUCCAGUCUCCAGCUCCAUUAUCCGUAGACCCUCCUCUUGAAGAAGAGAUCACAGUGAGUCUUGCUUUGCUCACAACUUGUGCAUCUCUUCAUGCUGUGUUGCUCUUGUGAUAUCCCAGGCCCACACUAGGACCUUCUUUCCAGCCACUGACCUGUUAUCCUCUUCACUACUCUCAGAGAAUCAUGUCCAGGGAAAAGGACUUCCUUUCUCCACCCUGUUCCUUGAUGUGAUUAUUAAUUUAUGGAUCAACAGGACUGUUCUAAGGGAUGCCCAGAUAGCUGAUAAAACAUAAUUUCUGCACGUGUCAUGAGGAUUCCUAAGAGGAUAGCAUUUGAAUUGGUCAAUUGAGUAAAGAAGAUCACCCUCAUCAGCUCAAGGGCAUCGGAUAGAUGUCAGAAUGAGUGAUGCCCGUCAUUACCAACGACUGCUUUCUUAUCUUGGGCAGAACAUGCAACGUGACGUUGGAUGCAAAAACGAAUGAGCAUCUAUGCAGCUGCACCAUUUUCUCCAUCUUGGCGGACCUGGGUUUUGCUAGCACAGCAUCCUCUGCUGUUUGGACCCACCCAAGGCUCUCACCUACCCAGCCCACUUGUCUGACAAUAAUGUUAUUAUUUCGCACACGUGCACCUGUUAUGGCAGCAACAAUAGCAACAGCAUCAUAAAAUAAACAGCACUGGAACUGGAACCACUUCCUACAAGCAUUUCUGAGUCUAACAA